UAGGGAAUCUUCGGCAAUGGGCGAAAGUCUGACCGAGCAACGCCGCGUGAGUGAAGAAGGUUUUCGGAUCGUAAAACUCUGUUGUUAGAGAAGAACAAGGGUGAGAGUAACUGUUCACCCCUUGACGGUAUCUAACCAGAAAGCCACGGCUAACUACGUGCCAG
rnacentral:rRNA from 1 species